rnacentral:rRNA from 1 species
UACGUAGGGGGCAAGCGUUGUCCGGAUUUAUUGGGCGUAAAGAGCGUGUAGGCGGUUGGGUAGGUCCGUUGUGAAAACUCGAGGCUCAACCUCGAGACGCCGAUGGAAACCCCCCAGCUAGAGUCCGGAAGAGGAGAGUGGAAUUCCUGGUGUAGCGGUGAAAUGCGUAGAUAUCUGGAGGAACACCGGUGGCGAAGGCGGCGUUCUGGACUGCAACUGACACUGAUGACCGAAAGCCAGGGGAGCAAACGGG